AGAAUUAAGACUACGGAAUGUCAAAAUACCAUGUAUGAGUACCGUUUUUGAUGGACUAUUUUAUUAAUCCUUCUGAUACUUGUUGAAUAUUAUAUAUGAUGCUGACCCAGGACAAAUAAUGUCCUCUACAACAAUCAAUACAAGGAAGAACUACUGAAAGCUUUCAAGUCUUUCAUUGUUUGAAAACUGCUAUUCAGAUGUUCACUGGCUAUAGAAAACUCUCUGGCAAGCAGAAGAAAACAGAGUACAGACUGGAACUUCAAAUUUUUGAGUCUAAAAUGGCAAAAUAGUCAACAUUGGUAAUAUAAUAGAAUUCAUCAAGAAUAAUCCAUAAUUUUUAUGAAUUGGGGUGCAGAAGAUAAUCUUGCAAUAUCAUCUUUGAACAUGAAGUUUUUUACACAUUUAAGAAUAUUUCCUUAAAAUAAAUUCUCAAAAAUGGGUAGCACUGAAUAUUUUGGGAUAUGACUACUUCUA